rnacentral:rRNA from 1 species
AGAGUUUGAUUCUGGCUCAGGAUGAACGCUAGCUACAGGCUCAACACAUGCAAGUCGAGGGGCAGCAUUGGAGUAGCAAUACUUCAGAUGGCGACCGGCGCACGGGUGAGUAACACGUAUCCAACCUGCCGCUUACUCGGGGAUAGCCUUUCGAAAGAAAGAUUAAUACCCGAUGGUAUAAAGAGUUCGCAUGUUCUCUUUAUUAAAGAAUUUCGGUAAGCGAUGGGGAUGCGUUCCAUUAGAUAGUUGGCGGGGUAACGGCCCACCAAGUCUACGAUGGAUAGGGGUUCUGAGAGGAAGGUCCCCCACAUUGGAACUGAGACACGGUCCAAACUCCUACGGGAGGCAGCAGUGAGGAAUAUUGGUCAAUGGACGAGAGUCUGAACCAGCCCAAGUAGCGUGAAGGAUGACUGCCCUAUGGGUUGUAAACUUCUUUUAUAAGGGAAUAAAGUGAGGGACGUGUCCCUUUUUGUAUGUACCUUACGAAUAAGGAUCGGCUAACUCCGUGCCAGCCGCGGC